UAAGGCUUGUUUAAAAACAAAACAAAACAAA
rnacentral:piRNA from 2 species